rnacentral:misc_RNA from 1 species
UUUCCGUAGGUGAACCUGCGGAAGGAUCAUUAUGGUAUAAUCGAGGUGCGAGGGCUGUCGCUGACUCGAUAGGUCGUGCACGCCCGAGUGCCCUCACACACAUCCAUCUCACCCCUAUGUGCACCACCGCGUGGGUCCCCCUUUGGCUUGUUCGGAGGGGGGCUUACGUUUUCAAACAAACUUUGUAUGCAGUGUAGAAUGUAUUUUUUGUUUUUGCGAUCACGCAAUCAAUACAACUUUCAACAACGGAUCUCUUGGCUCUC